UCCUACGGGAGGCAGCAGUGGGGAAUUUUGGACAAUGGGCGCAAGCCUGAUCCAGCCAUUCCGCGUGCAGGAUGAAGGCCCUCGGGUUGUAAACUGCUUUUGUACGGAACGAAAAGCCUUCUUCUAAUACAAGAGGGUCAUGACGGUACCGUAAGAAUAAGCACCGGCUAACUACGUGCCAGCAGCCGCGGUAAUACGUAGGGUGCAAGCGUUAAUCGGAAUUACUGGGCGUAAAGCGUGCGCAGGCGGUGAUGUAAGACAGAUGUGAAAUCCCCGGGCUCAACCUGGGAACUGCAUUUGUGACUGCAUCGCUGGAGUGCGGCAGAGGGGGAUGGAAUUCCGCGUGUAGCAGUGAAAUGCGUAGAUAUGCGGAGGAACACCGAUGGCGAAGGCAAUCCCCUGGGCCUGCACUGACGCUCAGC
rnacentral:rRNA from 1 species